GAAGAAGAUCAAAUCAUCAUCUUUGUGCUGAUGAUCAUCGAUUCAUAUUAAAGGUGGGCAUCACAAAAUCUGAUUCCAGGGUCAUUUAGUUUCUUUUCCUGUCUAAUUUGAUUGCAGAGUUUGAGUUUCAGUUAUUAUCCUUCUGCAUUGGUUUUUGGCUCAAAAGAUAUCAAUAUUAUCACCGGAUCCUUUUCCAGGU